rnacentral:rRNA from 1 species
GGUCAAGUUAUUAAGGGUGCAGGGCGGAUGCCUUGGCACUAGGAGCCGAUGAAGGACGUGAUAAGCUGCGAUAAGCUUCGGGGAGUUGCACGUAAACUUUGAUCCGAAGAUUUCCGAAUGAGGAAACUCACUUAGAGUAAUGUCUAAGUAUCAUUAAGUGAAUACAUAGCUUAAUGAGGGGAACUCAGGGAACUGAAACAUCUAAGUACCUGAAGGAAGAGAAAGAAAUUCGAUUCCGUAAGUAGCGGCGAGCGAACGCGGAUUAGCCCAAACCAAUAAAGUUUUCUUUAUUGGGGUUGCGGACAUAUCAUAACGAAGAGGUAUCGUAAUUGAAGAGGUUUGGAAAGACCCACCACAGAAGGUAAUAGUCCUGUAUGUUAAACGAGAAGACUUUAGAUAUGAUCCAGAGUACCACGGGACACGUGAAACCCUGUGGGAAGCAGGAGGGACCACCCUCCAAGGCUAAAUACUACCUAGUGACCGAUAGCGUAUAGUACCGUGAGGGAAAGGUGAAAAGAACCCCGGGAGGGGAGUGAAAUAGAACCUGAAACCCUGCACUUACAAGCUGUGGAAGCACAUUUCUUGUGUGACCGCGUACUUUUUGUAGAACGGGCCAACGAGUUACGUUAAGUAGCAAGGUUAAGCACUUAAGGUGUGGAGCCGUAGCGAAAGCGAGUUUUAACUGAGCGUUCAGUUACUUGACGUAGACCCGAAACCGGGCGACCUACCCAUGAGCAGGAUGAAGCGAAAGUAAAAUUUCGUGGAGGUCCGAACCCACGAGCGUUGAAAAGCUCGGGGAUGACUUGUGGGUAGCGGUGAAAUUCCAAUCGAGCCCGGAGAUAGCUGGUUCUCCCCGAAAUAGCUUUAGGGCUAGCCUCAAGGUGAGAGAUACGGAGGUAGAGCACUGAAUGUCCUAGGGGGUAUUGCACCUACCGAAGACUAUCAAACUCCGAAUGCCGUCAUCUUAUACUUGGGAGUCAGACUGUGGGUGAUAAGAUUCAUAGUCGAAAGGGCAACAGCCCAGAUCGUCAGCUAAGGUCCCUAAAUGUAAGUUAAGUGGUAAAGGAUGUGGGAUUGCACAGACAACCAGGAUGUUGGCUUAGAAGCAGCCACUCAUUCAAAGAGUGCGUAAUAGCUCACUGGUCGAGUGAUCCUGCGCCGAAGAUUUCCGGGGCUAAAACUUACUACCGAAGCUACGGCAUCAGUAAUGAUGGGUAGGGGAGCUUCCCAUACGGGUUGAAGCAUGACCGUAAGGACAUGUGGACAGUAUGGGAGUGAGAAUGUUGGCAUGAGUAGCGAGAUGUGGGUGAGAAUCCCACAGGCCGUAAACCCAAGGUUUCCAGGGGAAGGUUCGUCCGCCCUGGGUUAGUCGGGACCUAAGCUGAGGCCGAAAGGCGUAGGUGAUGGACAACAGGUUGAU